rnacentral:rRNA from 1 species
GGUAACCCGGAGCAAAUCCUUAAAAGCGGCGCCAGUUCGGAUUGAGGUCUGCAACCCGACCUCAUGAAGCCGGAAUCGCUAGUAAUCGUGGGUCAGCCAUACCACGGUGAAUACGUUCUCAAGCUUUGUACUCACCGCCCGUCAAGUCAGGGAAGUUGGGAGUGCCCGAAGCCGAUCCUCGUGAUCGUUCAAGGCAAACUCAAUGACAAAGACUAAGUCGUAACAAGGCACGGGUAGCGGAAGCUGCUCGUGGAUU